GACGAACGCUGGCGGCAUGCCUAAUACAUGCAAGUCGAGCGGAAUGACGAGAGCUUGCCCUCUGAUUUUAGCGGCGGACGGGUGAGUAACACGUGGGCAACCUGCCCUACAGAUGGGGAUAACUCCGGGAAACCGGGGCUAAUACCGAAUAAUCAGUUUGUCCGCAUGGACAAACUCUGAAAGACGGUUUCGGCUGUCACUGUAGGAUGGGCCCGCGGCGCAUUAGCUAGUUGGUGAGGUAACGGCUCACCAAGGCGACGAUGCGUAGCCGACCUGAGAGGGUGAUCGGCCACAUUGGGACUGAGACACGGCCCAG
rnacentral:rRNA from 1 species